GCCCCUUCGGGGACAUUCGAUAAAAUUGGAACGAUAGAGAGAAGAUUAGCAUGGCCCACAUGACAUGCACAAAUCGAGAAGUAGUUCAAAUUUUU
rnacentral:snRNA from 2 species